CAACCUGCCUUACACUCUUGGACAGCCUUCUGAAAGGGAGAUUAAUACAAGAUGUUAUCAUGAGUAAGCAUUUUCGCAUGAUUAAGGGUUUACCGGUGUAAGAUGGGGAUGCGUUCCAUUAGAUAGUAGGCGGGGUAACGGCCCACCUAGUCUUCGAUGGAUAGGGGUUCUGAGAGGAAGGUCCCCCACAUUGGAACUGAGACACGGUCCAAACUCCUACGGGAGGCAGCAGUGAGGAAUAUUGGUCAAUGGACGAGAGUCUGAACCAGCCAAGUAGCGUGAAGGAUGAAGGUUCUAUGGAUUGUAAACUUCUUUUAUACGGGAAUAAACGAAUCCACGCGUGGAUUUUUGCAUGUACCGUAUGAAUAAGGAUCGGCUAACUCCGUGCCAGCAGCCGCGGUAAUACGGAGGAUCCGAGCGUUAUCCGGAUUUAUUGGGUUUAAAGGGAGCGUAGAUGGGUUGUUAAGUCAGUUGUGAAAGUUUGCGGCUCAACCGUAAAAUUGCAAUUGAUACUGGCAGUCUUGAGUACAGUUGANGUAGGCGGAAUUCGUGGUGUAGCGGUGAAAUGCUUAGAUAUCACGAAGAACUCCGAUUG
rnacentral:rRNA from 1 species